rnacentral:rRNA from 1 species
CCUACGGGUGGCUGCAGUGGGGAAUAUUGGACAAUGGGGGCAACCCUGAUCCAGCCAUGCCGCGUGUGUGAAGAAGGCCCUCAGGUUGUAAAGCACUUUCAGUGAGGAAGAACGCCUGGUGGUUAAUACCCAUCAGGAAAGACAUCACUCACAGAAGAAGCACCGGCUAACUCCGUGCCAGCAGCCGCGGUAAUACGGAGGGUGCGAGCGUUAAUCGGAAUUACUGGGCGUAAAGCGCGCGUAGGUGGCUUGAUAAGCCGGUUGUGAAAGCCCCGGGCUCAACCUGGGAACGGCAUCCGGAACUGUCAAGCUAGAGUGCAGGAGAGGAAGGUAGAAUUCCCGGUGUAGCGGUGAAAUGCGUAGAGAUCGGGAGGAAUACCAGUGGCGAAGGCGGCCUUCUGGACUGACACUGACACUGAGGUGCGAAAGCGUGGGUAGCAAACAGGAUUAGAUACCCGAGUAGUC